ensembl:snRNA U6 U6 spliceosomal RNA
GUGCUCACUUCGGCAGCACAUAUACUAAAAUUGAAACGAUACAGAGAAGGUUAGCAUGGCCCCUGUGCAAGGAUGACAUGCAAAUUCAUGAAGCAUUCCAUAUUUUU